AAAUUGAAGAGUUUGAUCAUGGCUCAGAUUGAACGCUGGCGGCAGGCCUAACACAUGCAAGUCGAACGGUAGCACAGAGAGCUUGCUCUCGGGUGACGAGUGGCGGACGGGUGAGUAAUGUCUGGGAAACUGCCUGAUGGAGGGGGAUAACUACUGGAAACGGUGGCUAAUACCGCAUAAUGUCGCAAGACCAAAGAGGGGGACCU
rnacentral:rRNA from 1 species